rnacentral:rRNA from 1 species
AGCAGCCGCGGUAAUUCCAGCUCCAAUAGCGUAUAUUAAAGUUGUUGCAGUUAAAAAGCUCGUAGUUGAAUUUCGGGAUUGACGUGAUGGUCGUGCCUUAAGGGGUAUGAACUGUUGCUGUUGAUUUCUCACCUUCUGGAGAAACUUGAUGUCCUUAAUUGGGUGUCUUGCGGAUCCAGGACCUUUACCUUGAAAAAAUUAGAGUGUUUAAAGCAGGCAUUUUUGCUCGAAUACAUUAGCAUGGAAUAAUAGAAUAGGACGGCAUGGUUCUAUUUUGUUGGUUUCUAGGAUCACCGUAAUGAUUAAUAGGGAUAGUUGGGGGCAUUAGUAUUCAAUUGUCAGAGGUGAAAUUCUUGGAUUUAUUGAAGACUAACUACUGCGAAAGCAUUUGCCAAGGAUGUUUUCAUUAAUCAAGAACGAAAGUUAGGGGAUCGAGGACGAUCAGAUACCGUCGUAGUCUUAACCAUAAACUAUGCCGACUAGGAAUCAGACGAUGUUAAUUUUUAAUG